UGUGAAUUAGGGGCUUUACCUUUUACUUACCUAGGUAUACCCAUUCAUCAUCGUAAGCUCACGAACAGAGAGUGGAAAUGUAUCGAAGAUCGGUUCGAAAAGAAACUUAGUUGCUGGAAGGGCAAACUUCUAUCUUAUGGAGGCCGGUUGAUUCUUAUUAAUUCGGUGCUCACAAGUUUGCCGAUGUUCCUACUAUCUUUCUUUGAGGUUCCAGUUGGGGUUAGGAAAAGGCUGGACUUUUAUCGGUCAAGAUUUUUUUGGCAGAGUGAUGAUCUAAAAAGAAAGUAUAGACUCGCCAAGUGGGAUAUUAUUUGUCGUCCCAAGGAUCGGGGGGGGGUUGGGUAUCGAGAAUCUUGA
rnacentral:rRNA from 1 species